UACGGAGGGUGCGAGCGUUACUCGGAAUUACUGGGCGUAAAGCGUGCGCAGGCGGUUCGGAAAGAGAGGUGUGAAAUCCCAGGGCUUAACCUUGGAACUGCACUUCUAACUACCGGGCUAGAGUACGUCAGAGGGGGGUAGAAUUCCACGUGUAGCAGUGAAAUGCGUAGAGAUGUGGAGGAAUACCGAUGGCGAAGGCAGCCCCCUGGGAUGAUACUGACGCUCAUGCACGAAAGCGUGGGGAGCAAACGGG
rnacentral:rRNA from 1 species